GCCUUGAUGUGUAGGAUAGGUGGGAGGCUUUGAAGCGUGGACGCCAGUCUGCGUGGAGCCAACCUUGAAAUACCACCCUUUAAUGUUUGAUGUUCUAACGUGGGCCCCUUAUCGGGGUUGCGGACAGUGUCUGGUGGGUAGUUUGACUGGGGCGGUCUCCUCCCAAAGCGUAACGGAGGAGCACGAAGGUUAGCUAAUCCUGGUCGGACAUCA
rnacentral:rRNA from 1 species